rnacentral:rRNA from 1 species
GAUGAACGCUAGCUACAGGCUUAACACAUGCAAGUCGAGGGGAAACGACAUCGAAAGCUUGCUUUUGAUGGGCGUCGACCGGCGCACGGGUGAGUAACGCGUAUCCAACCUGCCCAUCACUUGGGAAUAACCUUGCGAAAGUAAGACUAAUACCCAAUGAUAUCCCACGAAGGCAUCGGAAUGGGAUUAAAGAUUUAUCGGUGAUGGAUGGGGAUGCGUCUGAUUAGCUUGUUGGCGGGGUAACGGCCCACCAAGGCAACGAUCAGUAGGGGUUCUGAGAGGAAGGUCCCCCACAUUGGAACUGAGACACGGUCCAAACUCCUACGGGAGGCAGCAGUGAGGAAUAUUGGCCAAUGGGCGAGGGCCUGAACCAGCCAAGUAGCGUGCAGGAAGACGGCCCUAUGGGUUGUAAACUGCUUUUAUAAGGGAAUAAAGUGGGUCACGUGUGACUUUUUGCAUGUACCUUAUGAAUAAGGACCGGCUAAUUCCGUG